AGGAGGAGGGUGGCCUGUCCCGGGCAGACCAGCCUCUCUGGGCUGUGUGGCCCCAGCUCCCUGAGCCCAGAGGGAGGUGAGGGUGAGAAGGCCUGGACCAGGCAGGAUGCAGCCCCUAGGGCCCGUGCUGGGAAGAGGUCAGAACCUCCCAAGGACCCAGAAGGCCAGAACACACUAGAGGGUCCCGGCAUCCUGAUGAGUCCACUGUCCCCGCGAUGGUUUUCAGGGAUGGAGAAGGCUCCCUGUCCUCCGCUGGAACCCUGCAGCCGGGCUGACGAGACCCCAGCGAGACCUGCAGAACAUUACAGCAGAAUGAAGGAGAGCCAGAGGAAGAGGCAGAUGUGCUGGCCUGUAAACAGUCUGAUUUCCAAUGUAAACCAGAUUCAGGCCCACGACAUCAGGUAAACAUCUGCAUCAGAGCCCCCGGCCCCCCACCGCCCGGGAGGCCCCGGGGUCCACACGGCCGACUCUGGGACCCGUCACAGUGACCGCCGAGACAUUUCGUAAUUAGGCAAAAUUGAUCCUUGCAUUCCUUCCCUAAAUCCCAAAUCUCUGCAAUUUUACUUCUUCUCAAAAAUGAAAACAUUUGGCAAUUAGCUGAUCCAAGUGAAAAAGGUAGAGAAUGUGCUCUCAACUGGAAAAUGCCAAUUAAGGAAGCAGCUCUGACUUCCCACCCGCCCUGGCUAAGCUGGGAGCUUAUCUUCCCCGAGAAGAAUCUGCUGGGAUAAGGGGGCUUGGGAAACACCGAGGGCAGGGCUGCCUCCUCACCUCCUCAGCUUCCUCUGAGAGCAGAUUAGCCGUGGCCUUGUGCCAGCAGGGCCUGGGUGCCACACAGGGUGGCAGGGGUGGCAGAGCCGGGCCUGGCUCUGGUACUGGGAUUUGGGGUGGCAGGACCCAGUGGGGCACCCGCUUGUGGGCAGCACUGAGGGCGGUGACGUAGGCAGCGAGUGCCGGUGUCUGCCCCCUCCAUCUGGCCGGGCCCCCCAGCCUGCUCCUGCAGCCCUGGACCUCAGGGCCCAUUUGCGGUGCAAGGCGGCUCUUGGCCGGUCUCCACU
rnacentral:lncRNA from 1 species